CUCGUCUCCCUCCCCAUAUCCAAAUCGCGCAGGAGCAGGUAUCCCAACUAGGCGGUUAUCGGUCUUCUCGUGUGCGCAGGUGAGUCCUUCCUCCCCACAUCCCUCUCUCCAUCCCGUCGGUCGAGCAACCCCUAGCCAGCCCUCGUCUCGCCAGUCAGCCCCUGCGUAGCGUUCGGCCUUUGUGGCCAGCAGCCUCGAUCUGCGCCCAUGUGUGGCUGCUACCCACGAGCAGCCCCGCGUGCUCUCGUCUGGCGAGCAGGAGCCGUCGUCGCCUAGCCCGCUGCUGGUAGCCUCCACUCCAGUCGGUCGAGAUCCCCAACGCCGAGCCUUUCCUAUGGACGGCUGGUGCCCUCUCCAGUUCCAGCGAUGCUUGCCCCUGCGCGUGGCCAGCAUGCCACGGCGGCUUAGGCACAGGCACGGCACAAGGCCCCGGCGAGGUCCCCUGCCAGCGUGGCCUCUGUCCGGCGAGUCCCGCCGCUGCCUAGCCCUGGCCGCGGUUCCCUGCCACCUGCGUUGAAGCCUAGCGCUGAGCCCCGGCCAGGCCAGCCCGCGCCCCUCCCCUGCUAGCCGGUCGGCGAGCCCCUGCGCUGCCCUGCCAUGCUCUGGCCAGCACCACUUUCCCUCCUCCCCCACGUGAUCCCAUCCUCCCUUGCGGUUGCCAUUCGUGUCGAGCAUAGGAGAGAAAGGUAACUGCUCUUGCGUGUGAAACAGAGAAGAAACCUCGUGCAAUUGCAACUUGCAUGAAGGAAAGAAAUCGUUUCCUUUUCUAAUCAUGGCCACAUGGCAACUUCUGGUUGGACCAUGCAAGGUUGCCCUGUGUUGUGGCGUCUCACACAGGAUGGGUCUGCUACCGCAUGGGAUCCCUUACAAUUGUAAUCCCUAUGUCCCUUUAUGUGUCACCCAUUCGUCCGAUCACAUUGCGGCAUGUCUAUAUUCGCGAAAUGCUAAUUAUUCAAUAUAUUUUGCGUUAUAAAUCCGUUGCAAACCGUUCUAGUUGCAUCAGCUUCGUAAUAAUAUAGUCUACGUGUUAGUAACAAUAUUUGGUGGCGACACAUGUCUUAUUUAUUUAAUUAAUAAUCAUUUUGUUCGUUGGUUAUUAAAAUAACUUUGUAGUUGAAAACUAAUUUAUAGUUUCAUUUACGCUUUUAUAAACACAAGUUAAUGUGGUUAGUGCCAACUCAGAUGUUUUUAACUAAUAUUUGUUUAUGUAAAUGUGACGUCUAUUUAACUUUUUUCGUGUGUCAUUCAUGCGUUGUUUCGCAUGUGGUUGCGUGCUGAUUUGUGCGUCAUUCGUUCUGGUCGCGCGCACUGUUUCGUGCGUCAUAAACAUGCUAUGUCGCGCGUGCCCGCGCGUCGUUCACACGCUGUCGUGCUGUUUCGCGCAUCAUAAUUUCACCUCGCUUAAAAUCGGUCAUGUUAAUUAAAUUACUUAUUUAACUAACAAUUGUUAGUGUAACAGAUUAAUAGAAACUAAAUGGUAGAGAUUAUUUAUAUUGGAUGAUGUCGAACUAAAUGUUCUAACUAAUACUUUUUUAGCGUAAACGCGAUGACUUCUGGACCGUAGCUCCGACUAUCGCGUUUCUUUUUCCUCUCGUGACCGUGGAAGCGAGCUCUAUUUCGUACUACAUGUUUUAUAAUGUUUUCCUUUGCAUGGUGAAAUGUUCUUAUACAUAUGUAUGCUUGCUUGCUUGCUAGUUUGUCUUCGCUCGCGUUGCGAAUAGAACGCGAUCCGUUUCCGAGCUUCGGUGAAUUGACAGUCAAGCUUCGACGACCAAGUGAUCAUUCUCUUCGAGUUCCACAAGGUUGAAGACCCUGAGCAUCUGUUUGGUGAAGGCAGUCCUCUGACCUAUUAUGUUCUACUUACUUAUAAUUCACUGUCCCGCAUUACAUUAUUGAAAACCUAAGGGUUGACUAGCUUUCUAUUUACCUUAUCCUUGUUUACCUUUUGGGUAACUAUGGUUAGCUUUAUGCUAUUGCUUCAACUUAAUCAAUGAACAUGAUGUGAAUAUUAUGAUACGAUGAUGUUAUCCCGAUGAUGUUCGGGGAGUGACAACCCGGGAUAACAGUGCAACCAUGAGGGUAGAAUGGGACGCCCUUAGCUGAUUAAUUAGAGGAACUAGAGGAGUAGUUGGCUUCGC
rnacentral:lncRNA from 1 species